AGAGUUUGAUCCUGGCUCAGAACGAACGCUGCGGCGCGUUUAAAGCAUGCAAGUCGAACGGGAUUAAGAAAGCUUGCUUUUUUAAUUUAGUGGCGAACGGGUGAGUAACGCGUAGAUAAUCUACCCUUGAGUGGGGGAUAGUCCAUCGAAAGGUGGUUUAAUACCGCAUGAAUUGUUGUAUCAUAAGAUAUGACAUGAAAGAUUAUACUUUAUUGUAUAGUCGCUUGGGGAUGAGUCUGCGUACCAUUAGCUAGCUGGAGAGGUAAGAGCUCCCCAGGGCAAAGAUGGUUAGCCGGUCUGAGAGGAUGAUCGGCCACAUUGGGACUGAGAUACGGCCCAGACUCCUACGGGAGGCAGCAGCUAAGAAUCUUCCGCAAUGGACGAAAGUCUGACGGAGCGACGCCGCGUGAACGAAGAAGGCCGUAAAGGUUGUAAAGUUCUUUUAUUGCACAAAAAUGCUAUAUUAUAGAUGUAGUUGUUAUGUGCUAUGAAUAAGCCCGGCUAAUUACGUGCCAGCAGCCGCAGUAAGACGUAAGGGGCAAGCGUUGUUCGGAAUUAUUGGGCAUAAAGGGCGAGUAGGCGGUCUUGUAAGUUAUAGGUGAAAUUUCACUGCUCAACAGUGAGCGUGCCUGUAAAACUGUAGGACUAGAGUUUAGGAGAGGAUGUCGGAAUUCCUGGUGUAGGGGUGGAAUCUAUAGAUAUCAGGAGGAACACCUGUGGCGAAGGCGGGCAUCUGGCCAUAGACUGACGCUGAGGCGCGAAAGCGUGGGUAGCAAACAGGAUUAGAUACCCUGGUAGUCCACGCAGUAAACGUUGUAUACUAGGUGUAUGAGGUAUCGAUCCCUUGUGUACCGAAGCAAAUGUGAUAAGUAUACCGCCUGGGGAGUAUGCCGGCAACGGUGAAACUCAAAGGAAUUGACGGGGGCCCGCACAAGCGGUGGAGCAUGUGGUUUAAUUCGAUGAUACGCGAAAAACCUUACCUGGGUUUGACAUAUGGACUGAUGGAUAAGAGAUUAUUCAGCCCCUUCGGGGGAGUUUAUACAGGUGCUGCAUGGCUGUCGUCAGCUCGUGUCGUGAGAUGUUGGGUUAAGUCCCGCAACGAGCGCAACCCUCAUGAUUAGUUGCCAUCAGGUAGUGCUGGGCACUCUAAUCAAACCGCCGGACGUAAGCCGGAGGAAGGUGGGGAUGACGUCAAGUCCUCAUGGCCUUUAUAUCCAGGGCUACACACGUGCUACAAUGGUCAGUACAAAGAGGAGCGAAGCUGUGAAGUGGAGCCAAUCUCAAAAAGCUGGCCGUAGUUCGGAUUGGAGUCUGAAACUCGACUCCAUGAAGUUGGAAUCGCUAGUAAUCGCAGAUCAGCACGCUGCGGUGAAUACGUUCCCGGGCCUUGUAC
rnacentral:rRNA from 1 species